rnacentral:rRNA from 1 species
UAACUUUGCAGUCUGAGUAAACUUAAUUAAUAAAUUAAAACUUUUAACAACGGAUCUCUUGGUUCUGGCAUCGAUGAAGAACGCAGCGAAAUGCGAUAAGUAAUGUGAAUUGCAGAAUUCAGUGAAUCAUCGAAUCUUUGAACGCACAUUGCGCCCCCUGGUAUUCCGGGGGGCAUGCCUGUUCGAGCGUCAUUUCACCACUCAAGCCUCGCUUGGUAUUGGGCAACGCGGUCCGCCGCGUGCCUCAAAUCGACCGGCUGGGUCUUCUGUCCCCUAAGCGUUGUGGAAACUAUUCGCUAAAGGGUGCUCGGGAGGCUACGCCGUAAAACAAACCCAUUUCUAAGGUUGACCUCGGAUCAGGUAGGGAUACCCGCUGAACUUAAGCAUAUCAAUAAGCGGAGGAAAAGAAACCAACAGGGAUUGCCCCAGUAACG